AAGUAAGAAAAUAACUAGUGAUUUUUAAAGACUGGAAUUGGUUUCACAAGGUUGAGUUCAUUGCAGAAUCUCCAAAUUCUUCUGCUUCACUUCAGCUCACAAGCAAGUUAAACAAGACAGUGAUGUGAAACACAUCCGGCACAAACACAGGCUAAACACUGAGCUGAUGGUCCUGACUUCAGCCCUACAUCACGAAAAACGAUAAACUGCAAUUAAAAGCGAGAUCCGUUCCAGGGAGCCAACCAAUUUGAAUGAAUUUUGCCAGGAAGAGUGGUCAAAUGUCCAACCAGUAAUACGCAAGGACUGAUGACUACAUAAAGUGUGUGGUUUCUCUGCAGCUUACUGAAGGCCAAAAGUCAAAAUAUCAGCCAGGGUGUGUGUUGUAGCCUCUUUGCAUAAAUUUUGGCAAAUGUACAUUGUGCAAUCGUUAGAACCUGAUUUAAAAAAAAAAAAAAAACAGUUCAGAUAAACCAAUAAAAGCCCAAAAAUUAUGACAGUCGUCCCUGUGAUAAGUGGAUAUAAACACCUGACAACUGCAUGUGGGAUCCUUGCCCAAAUGAGCUAUACCCAUAUUAUUGUCUCCUUCCCUCCUUAUCUGCCACCGACUCAUCAGUAGUCUGGAUGAUGAGGAUGACGACGAAGACCUGCCGGUGGAGAUAAAGGCCGAGCGGGAGAAAGCACGGAGCCUCGUCUCUUUGACCGACGAGAACCUGACUGCGGAGGAGAAGGAGCAGAGGGAGCGCGAUCGCCGCCUAGCUAACAAUGCCAGGGAGAGAGUGCGAGUUCGCGACAUAAACGAAGCCUUCAGAGAGCUGGGCAGGAUGUGUCAGGUCCACCUGCAGAGCGACAAGGCCCAGACCAAGCUCGUCAUCCUGCAGCAGGCUGUCCAGGUCAUCCUGAGCCUGGAGAAGCAGGUGCGAGAGCGUAAUUUAAACCCAAAAGCCGCCUGCCUCAAGAGGCGAGAGGAGGAGAAAGUUCCAGGGCUGGAGCACCAGCUGCAGCUGGGCGGGGGUCACCCUGCUCUGGGAGGGGACGGGCACAACCCCGUGAGCCAUAUGUAAUACUCAGUUCCUGUUGAUUGUCCAGCCCUACGAACAAACACGUGGCCUUAUCGAUCAUUGUCGUCCAUCUCAGUGUGUGAUAAUCAUGCAAACACCUCAUUACUGACAAAAUAAUAGGUGGCCACAUUCCUGACGAUGAGAACAAUUACAAGAAGCACACGGGAUACAGUAAAAGAAUACAACUUUAUUGACUUUUACGUGACAGUGCUUGGAACUGAACACACUGCUUUCGGAGACGGUGGAUAAUGGACAAAAAAGAAAUGCUCUUAUGAUAAUGUUUGGGCUUUGUGUUUUUUUGCAGGACGUUGUCAAAAAUUGCUUUACACAUUGGGAGCAAAACCUGUUUGGAUCAAAAAACACUUGGAUCAAUUGCUCUGAGUGAAGUUGAGCUUUUUCUUGUUGAGUAGUUAUUGGUAUUCCCGUCAAAAAGAGGUCUUACAUUCUUCACAAGUUGAGAGGGGUGACUUAUACAUCUGACGAUUGAACAAAAGUCUGUUUCAUCCCGCCUUUCUCACACCUCAUGUGCAGUGUUUGGUCACGAUGGCUGAACUACAGAAAAAAUGGAGAUACUCUGCCUUGCAGAAGCAUUCAAACCCUGUGAACUUCUUCACAUUUUGUCACUUUGGAACCACAUCGUUCACUGUAUUUUGUGGAGAUUUUACGUGAGACGAAAGGAAAUUGGAAUUUUUUUUUCCAAGAAAUAUCCAGAGUUGGGUAGAGUUGCCAAAUAUUGUUCCCAAGCAUGACUUCAAUAUUUUUUUUUAUUUAAGUUGAAGUGAAAAGUAGUCAACCAAAUUUGGGAAUUUGGUAAAAAAAAAAAAAA